GGAAGGGAAGAGUGAUGAAGCUUUUGAGCUACUUGAAGAAUGUAGAAAGAGGGAUAGAUUGAUGAGCCAGAAGACUUACAAGACUUUGUUGAAUUCGUUGCAUUUUCUUAAUCAAGAGUAGAUUUGAUUCUCACUUCGGUGAUUAUAUUCAAAUGUUUGGUAACACUAAUUUCGUCAGAUUGGAAAUACUGUAAGGGCAAGCAGAAUGUUAAGAUACUGUUGAAGCAGGGCCUAAAUGUCUGAUUUAAUAUGGGAGCCAUCUGGGCCGAUCCAUACUGGCAAUGUGAAUUCUAGAUGCAGACUGGGUAUGAUAUCCUGGAUGUGCCGCAAUCACAGUUAUAGUUAUUGGUUCUGGUCUGACAUGGAGGCAGGCGAUGCUGUAAUGUGUUGCUACAUAGAGAUGGUGCUGCAACUAGUGUAAAAGGGGGUGGCUGCUUGGCUAUUGCAUCAGGCUUUCAACCUUUUAUGUCUUAGUUAUACCACUCCACCUCGAGAUACACGUAAUUGGGGACUUGAUAACAGUGUAAACUGGCUUGUCAUUCUAAGACCAGGAUGUUUUUUUGUGUCCUUGAAAUGAUCUGGAACUUUUUUAUUGGAUGGUGAUCUGGGAGCUGCUCUGGUUUUUCUGGCCUGGAAAUCAUAUAUCAUGGAGCAUAAAUUCUCGCCAUCAAUGAUAUUUCAGGAAGGUUUGGGUAUGGGAUUCUUGUUAUCAGUGAUAUUUAGGAAGUUUUAAGUGGGAUUAAACGUUAUCUUGGGUGAGAAAGGUUUUGUUACAACAAUCAUGGAUGCCAUUGAAAGAGAGGCAUGAAUAANNNNNNNCACUUUAAUUUCCCAAUCAUCUUCUUUGAGAUGUGUUUUCAUCAGAAUUGAGGAAAUGCUUUCCAAGCUCUAACCAAACCUGAAUACCUGAUAUUAGCAAUACAGAAAUUUAUAAGAUACCCAGAUGCUGGCAGAUCAUAUGUUCUUUGGCAGUUAAUAUAUUUGCUUAAUAUUACAAGCAUCUGUUCUGUGCCCC
rnacentral:misc_RNA from 1 species